CGGAUAGUAGCGUAAUAGGUAACGCGUCUAAUUUGGGAUUAGAAAAUUGUAAGUUCGAUUCUUACCUAUCCGA
rnacentral:tRNA from 1 species